rnacentral:lncRNA from 1 species
CAAAGAAGAUAUAGAAAAUAAUAUUAGUUUAGAAGAGGGUAAUCUACAACUUUUAAUAUCCUUAUGUCUUAUUAAGAAAAAAAAAAUAAUCCACUCUUAAUCAAAAAAAGAUAAAGCUCUAAUAUUAUAAGUAUACUCUUAUCAAUCAAUCAAGGACAUGAAUUGAAAGAACAUAUAUAAAUUUGAGAAAUCUAUGUAAAAAGUGUUAAAAUAA